rnacentral:sRNA from 1 species
CAUAAAGGAUGUUAGCCGUUAUCACAUCCAUGCGAUAACGGCUAACUGACCUGCAUCUUGCAGG